GUGCCAGCAGCCGCGGUAAUACGAAGGGGGCUAGCGUUGUUCGGAAUUACUGGGCGUAAAGCGCACGUAGGCGGAUUGGCAAGUCAGGGGUGAAAUCCCGGGGCUCAACCUCGGAACUGCCUUUGAUACUGCCAGUCUAGAGUCCGGAAGAGGUGGGUGGAAUUCCUAGUGUAGAGGUGAAAUUCGUAGAUAUUCGGGGGAACACCAGUGGCGAAGGCGGCUCACUGGCUCGAUACUGACGCUGAGGUGCGAAAGCGUGGGGAGCAAACAGGAUUAGAUCCCCUGGUAGUCCACGCCGUAAACGAUGAAUGCCAGACGGCGGGCAGCAUGCUGUUCGGUGUCGCACCUAACGGAUUAAGCAUUCCGCCUGGGGAGUACGGCCGCAAGGUUAAAACUUAAAUGAAUUGACGGGG
rnacentral:rRNA from 1 species